CUCAAAAUGUAUAGAAUUUCAGAAAAUGCGGUAAAGAAAAUGAACAGUACGACGAUGGAGCGUGGAGGAAGGAGAGCCAGGCAGAGGUUCUGCAAGUAUUUACGAAGUAAUCGCUGGAUACUUACAUGAUGCAGAAACGUAUUUUUAAAGGAAAAGAAAAAACAAAACCCUACAUGUAUCUUUAUUAAAUGGAUAUAUAUUUCACACCUGAAUCAAUCUGUUGACUUCAUCCUGCU